rnacentral:lncRNA from 1 species
CCAGAAACUCAUGGAUGGCUUAAGGAACUUGAACUCAAACGAGCCAGAAAAAAAGGGGUCAUAUUCACGGGAUGAAAACCCAAGCGAGUUAUUAUAUGACCAAGCCAGCCUGCAUUAAGAUAAAGACCCUGAAAGCACAUGCUAUGUACCAACUGCCUAAGGAAGCUUCUUGUAAGGUUCAAAACUGAAAAGCCUGUUAAUAAAGGAACUUUCAGUCAGAAUAAGUCUGGAAGAUUUUUUUUUUCUUUUUAAUUGUAAAUGGUUCUUUGUCAGUUUAGUUAAACCAGUGAAAUGUUGAAAUGUUUUUGAUACGUACUGGUCAAACUUCAGACCUGAAAGUAUUGCCGUAUAGCUAUGCUAUUGGUUUUUUCCUUCGUUUCAGAUAUAUGUAACCGUACCUAUAUUAUUAUAAUAGAUGGGUAUAGAAGCCAGUAUAAUUGGAAACACAUCUGCAGAUCUCCUUUGCAAACUAUUAAAUCAAAACGUUAACUACUUUACAUGCAAUGUGUAAAUUUUUACCAUAUUUUUAAUGUUCUGUAAUAAUGUCAACUAUGAUUUAGAUUGGACUUAAAUUGGGGCUCUAUUUUUAAUGAUUGCUCAGAACUGUGUGUUUCCUUUAGCUGGCCAGUACUUUCGAGUAAAGCCCCUAUAGUUUGACUUGCACUACAAAUCUGUGUUUUAUAGUGUUUCCUCCACUGUGCUUUGUGCAUUGUCCAUUAUUAUGACAUAAGCUACCUGAGUCCACUUGUCCUGUAGAUUUUCUUUUAUAAAAAGGACAGGUUCAAGUUCAGUAGUCUUCCUCCAUCUUCUAAGCAUCCUUACUAAUCAGUUCAGAUGUUAACAGUCUUCUAUUUUAGGAAAAUUGGGGAAUAUUAUAGAUGUAUACAUAAUUGAGCUGAAAUAUUUUAGUUUUAGCAGAGGCCUAAGGAUCUGACUGUAACUCGGAAUCUUUGUGGCUGAGUUAAGAAAGGUUUCUGCAACUUGGCUUAAACAGUAUGCUCACCGAAUUCUAUUGUUAGUAGAGAUCAGACAGUUCAUAGGAAACAUCUUUUCCUUUAAUCAGGUUUUUAGUGUUCAGGGGGGAAAUGGAAAGAUUUACAUAUUUCUUGAUUUCUUUUUUAAGGGAGAAAAAAAAAACCGCCCUGGUCAGCCUAAGUCACUCAGUUUAGAUUUCAUGUUCUCAAGCAAAAUCACGUAUAGUCAGGAGUGAGCCCUCUGCCCCUAAAAAAAGAAAAAAACCUCUUGUUCUGAUGUCAUACCUAUAAUCCUAUCUGUUCCUAUAGGUUACUUAAAUGUCUACUGAAAUAAUUAGUUGCAUGUAGCCAACCUUGCUUUUUAUUUGAGGUUUUUUUGAUAAAAGAUGAAUCACAUAUCAAAAAAAAAAAAAAAAAAAAAAAAAAGAAGUACCAGUUCAGAAUAAAGGCAGGAACAUUGUAAACA